UACAGAGGGUGCAAGCGUUAAUCGGAUUUACUGGGCGUAAAGGGCGCGUAGGUGGUAAGGCAAGUAAGAUGUGAAAGCCCUGGGCUUAACCUGGGAAGUGCAUCUUAAACUGCCUAACUAGAGUAUGGUAGAGGGUAGUGGAAUUUCCGGUGUAGCGGUGAAAUGCGUAGAGAUCGGAAGGAACGUCAGUGGUGAAGACGACUACCUGGACCAAUACUGACACUGAGGCGCGAAAGCG
rnacentral:rRNA from 1 species